rnacentral:rRNA from 1 species
UGAGUACGAGAUGCUACGGCAUCGAAGCAGUCUAUGUCAUACUUCCAAGAAAAGCUCGCACUGUCAAAAACAAAUUAAUGCCUGUACCAUAACCGACACAGGUGGGUAGGUAGAGUAUACUAAGGGGCGCGAGAUAACUCUCUCUAAGGAACUCGGCAAAAUAACUCCGUAACUUCGGGAGAAGGAGUGCCUUUUGAAGGCUGCAAUAACCAGAUCCAAGCAACUGUUUAUCAAAAACACAGGUCUCCGCUAAGUCGUAAGACGAUGUAUGGGGGCUGACGCCUGCCCAGUGCCAGAAGGUUAAAGAAGUUGGUUAGCCCUGCGAAGCUGAUGACUGAAGCCCUGGUGAACGGCGGCCGUAACUAUAACGGUCCUAAGGUAGCGAAAUUCCUUGUCGGGUAAGUUCCGACCCGCACGAAAGGCGUAAUGAUUUGGAUACUGUCUCGGAGAGGGACUCGGUGAAAUAGACUUGUCUGUGAAGAUGCGGACUACCUGCACCAGGACAGAAAGACCCUAUGAAGCUUUACUGUAACUUGAGAUUGAAAUUGGACUUUACUUGCGCAGUAUAGGUGGGAGGCGUUGAAAAUAUUCCUGCGGGAAUAUCGGAGCCAUCAGUGAGAUACCACUCUUGUAAUGUUAGAUUUCUAACUUUGUAUCAUUAUCUGGUCAAAGAACAGUCUCAGGCGGGCAGUUUGACUGGGGCGGUCGCCUCCCAAACGGUAACGGAGGCGCACAAAGGUUUCCUCUGAACGGGUAGAAAUCGUAUCUAGAGUGUAAAGGCAUAAGGAAGCUUGACUGUGAGACCUACAAGUCGAGCAGGGACGAAAGUCGGUCUUAGUGAUCUGACGGUGCUGAGUGGAAAGGCCGUCACUCAACGGAUAAAAGUUACUCUAGGAUAACAGGCUGAUCUCCCCCAAGAGUUCACAUCGACGGGGAGGUUUGGCACCUCGAUGUCGGCUCAUCGCAUCCUGGGGCGGUAGUACGUCCCAAGGGUUGGGCUGUUCGCCCAUGAAAGCGGUACGCGAGCUGGGUUCAGAACGUCGUGAGACAGUUCGGUCCAUAUCCGGUGUAGGCGUUAGAAUAUUGAGAGGAGCCUUCUUUAGUACGAGAGGACCGAGAAGGACAUACCUCUGGUGUACCAGUUAUCGUGCCAACGGUAAACGCUGGGUAGCUAUGUAUGGAGUGGAUAACCGCUGAAAGCAUCUAAGUGGGAAGCCCACCUCAAGAUAAGUAUUCUCAC